UUCUAUUACAUGCAUACA
rnacentral:miRNA from 1 species